GAUACAUCAACAGCUAAAAGAGGCUUCAAGUUGGCAUACUUUGAAACGAAUGAACCAUACCAUUGUGGGGGAACUCUGAAUAUCACUACGACUGACAUCACAACAUUAACAUCGCCUAACUACCCUGGACCUUACCCGAACCACGAGGAAUGCAUCUGGACCAUACAUGCUCCAGCAAACACGAA